rnacentral:rRNA from 1 species
AUGUUUAGUCCAUCGCAAGGGUUGAGGCAGGGAGACCCCAGCUCUCCAUAUUUUUUUGUCAUUUGUGCGGAGGGCUUGUCUGCAUUACUGUUAGAUGCCGAGGCAAAAGGUAUCAUGCACGGAGUCAAAAUCAGUCCGCGGGCGCCAUGUGUAUCACACCUUCUCUUCGCUGAUGAUUCUAUGCUUUUGAUCAAAGCAAACCAGCAGGAAGCCUCGACGUUACAUGAAGUUUUGCAGCUGUAUGAAGACUGCUCCGGCCAGUGCAUAAAUGUGGAGAAAUCUGUUGUUAUGUUCAGUCCCAACACAUGUGACACUGAUAAGAAUUCCGUCAAGAAUAUGCUGGGAAUACAGAGUGAAGACUGGAAAGAAAAAUAUCUGGGCUUGCCGGUCCAUGUAGGUCAUUCAAGAAAGUGA